rnacentral:rRNA from 1 species
ACGAACGCUGGCGGCGUGCCUAAUACAUGCAAGUCGAACGCUUCUUUUUCCACCGGAGCUUGCUCCACCGGAAAAAGAGGAGUGGCGAACGGGUGAGUAACACGUGGGUAACCUGCCCAUCAGAAGGGGAUAACACUUGGAAACAGGUGCUAAUACCGUAUACCAAUCGAAACCGCAUGGUUUUGAUUUGAAAGGCGCUUUCGGGUGUCGCUGAUGGAUGGACCCGCGGUGCAUUAGCUAGUUGGUGAGGUAACGGCUCACCAAGGCGACGAUGCAUAGCCGACCUGAGAGGGUGAUCGGCCACAUUGGGACUGAGACACGGCCCAAACUCCUACGGGAGGCAGCAGUAGGGAAUCUUCGGCAAUGGACGAAAGUCUGACCGAGCAACGCCGCGUGAGUGAAGAAGGUUUUCGGAUCGUAAAACUCUGUUGUUAGAGAAGAACAAGGAUGAGAGUAACUGUUCAUCCCUUGACGGUAUCUAACCAGAAAGCCACGGCUAACUACGUGCCAGCAGCCGCGGUAAUACGUAGGUGGCAAGCGUUGUCCGGAUUUAUUGGGCGUAAAGCGAGCGCAGGCGGUUUCUUAAGUCUGAUGUGAAAGCCCCCGGCUCAACCGGGGAGGGUCAUUGGAAACUGGGAGACUUGAGUGCAGAAGAGGAGAGUGGAAUUCCAUGUGUAGCGGUGAAAUGCGUAGAUAUAUGGAGGAACACCAGUGGCGAAGGCGGCUCUCUGGUCUGUAACUGACGCUGAGGCUCGAAAGCGUGGGGAGCAAACAGGAUUAGAUACCCUGGUAGUCCACGCCGUAAACGAUGAGUGCUAAGUGUUGGAGGGUUUCCGCCCUUCAGUGCUGCAGCUAACGCAUUAAGCACUCCGCCUGGGGAGUACGACCGCAAGGUUGAAACUCAAAGGAAUUGACGGGGGCCCGCACAAGCGGUGGAGCAUGUGGUUUAAUUCGAAGCAACGCGAAGAACCUUACCAGGUCUUGACAUCCUUUGACCACUCUAGAGAUAGAGCUUCCCCUUCGGGGGCAAAGUGACAGGUGGUGCAUGGUUGUCGUCAGCUCGUGUCGUGAGAUGUUGGGUUAAGUCCCGCAACGAGCGCAACCCUUACUGUCAGUUACUACGCAAGAGGACUCUGGCAGGACUGCCGUUGACAAAACGGAGGAAGGUGGGGAUGACGUCAAAUCAUCAUGCCCCUUAUGACCUGGGCUACACACGUGCUACAAUGGGAAGUACAACGAGUCGCAAAGUCGCGAGGCUAAGCUAAUCUCUUAAAGCUUCUCUCAGUUCGGAUUGUAGGCUGCAACUCGCCUACAUGAAGCCGGAAUCGCUAGUAAUCGCGGAUCAGCACGCCGCGGUGAAUACGUUCCCGGGCCUUGUACACACCGCCCGUCACACCACGAGAGUUUGUAACACCCGAAGUCGGUGAGGUAACCUUUUGGAGCCAGCCGCCUAAGGUGGGAUAGAUGAUUGGGGUG